AGCCAUAUGGGAGCAUCACUAGAAGGUAGAGGUUACAAGUCCGGAAGCCAGACUUCGUCAGAAACCAAUCUCAUUAUCACCUUAAUCUUGGACUUCUUACCUCCAACACUGUGAGAAAGUUUCUCUGAAUGGGCUUAUGAGAUCAGCACCCUUCAUUUCCAGAAUGUUUGUGCACCGAUUCAGGAGCAGUUGUGAUGGAGGGCUGGAUGCAAAAUGAUGACUGCGUCAGGGGUGCAACAGAAUUACUUUAGAAGUGGCAGUGCACAUUUGUGAUCUCUCAUGAGAGAAGAGGUCCCCUUAAGCACAAUUUCAUAAAGCAAGAAGAGGCGAUGGAAUCCAGUGUGCACACUGAGAGGCGGGUUUCGUACCACAGAACGUUCUGCCACAGCCGGGACAGGAGGUAAGAGUGAUGGAUUUAGUAGUCCUGCGAGAGCUUGAACAUAGGCUUUGGUCUGCUUCUAUACUUCUCGGUGCGAUCACA